AUUUAUUAUUUAAGAGUAAACAGUAGCGUGUCAUCAAUAUUUUUGUUUUUUGAAAGUUCUGAGAACUUUAAACAAUGAGGCAACAGUGCGUCGGCAAUACGACAGUGACAUACAUAGAUUAUGCAAGGUACAAAAAAUAGCGUAACGUGGAGCAGUUCAUCAGUGGUCUAUCUAUCUCUACCGGCGCUUAGCUUUCUCUCUCUAGCAUAUGAUGGCCGCUGCCGCUGUACUCUGUUAAUAAAUGCACCUCCAGCGUUCCAUUACUCCCACCUCUUGUUCGAUACGCUCACACUUCUACUACAGACAAAGAUAGCUAGACCUAUGUACUUGAUAUUGGCGUUACACCCCUAUGCAUAGGGCUUUUCAUUCAAUUAUUUGUUUAGAGCUUCCGUCAUAUGUCAUAUAAACCGUGUAUAUUAUAAUUAUACACAGAUUAUACUUACAACAUAAUAUCGACACCUGAUAUGAAAAACAUUGUAUCUCCACUUACAAUGUUUUUCAACUAUGGCUUAAAUAGCAUCUAUAAACGAUAACCUUCAAUUUGGUCUAAGAACUUUUAUCCUAUCUUAUGUAAUUAUAAAGUUAUUUAACAAAAUAACCUCAUUGUAAGUGCAAAUUUUUGAUCACUGGGUGGAAAAAACAUUGUAACCAAUGUUACAAUAUUAAAUUUUUUUAUUAUUGAUGAACAUUUUUUAAUAUAACAUUGUAACAUGGGAUACAAUGUUUUUCUCGAAACAUUUAUUGAGUAAGUUUUUAUAACUGCAUUGUAAGUUGUGAUACAAGAAAGCAAGGUAGUGGAAUAUUACGAUGAACAACAUUGUAAGUCACUAUAGUCAGGAGGUAAAUUCUAUAUUAUUAACUGCUGAGCAUAGUAAGCAUGCCCCCAAUCGUAAAAACUCACAUAAAAAUACUAGUUUAGAAUUUCAAACAAAAAUAAUAACACCUAUAUCAUUCACUGCUGAACUAACUUCUACUGAUGAAACUCAGAUAAUCAAUGGUCACAGUGGAUUGCACGCUCAA
rnacentral:lncRNA from 1 species